UAAGUAGGUAGUGAAAUCUGACGGCUCAACCGUACAGGCUAUUACCUAAACUGGCAAACUCGAGAGUAGUAGAGGUAACUGGAAUUUCUUGUGUAGAAGUGAAAUCCGUAGAUAUAAGAAGGAACACCAAUGGCGUAGGCAGGUUACUGGGCUAUCUCUGACACUGAGGCACGAAAGCGUGGGGAGCGAACGGGAUUAGAUACCCCGGUAGUCCACGCCGUAAACGAUGGAUACUA
rnacentral:rRNA from 1 species